rnacentral:rRNA from 1 species
GACGAACGCUGGCGGCGUGCCCAAUACAUGCAAGUCGAGCGGACGAAUCGAAAGCUUGCUUUUGAUUCGUUAGCGGCGGACGGGUGAGUAACACGUGGGCAACCUGCCCUGUAGACGGGGAUAACACCGAGAAAUCGGUGCUAAUACCGGAUAACACGAAAUGUCGCAUGACGUUUCGUUGAAAGACGGCGCAAGCUGUCGCUACAGGAUGGGCCCGCGGCGCAUUAGCUAGUUGGUGAGGUAACGGCUCACCAAGGCGACGAUGCGUAGCCGACCUGAGAGGGUGAUCGGCCACACUGGGACUGAGACACGGCCCAGACUCCUACGGGAGGCAGCAGUAGGGAAUCUUCCGCAAUGGACGAAAGUCUGACGGAGCAACGCCGCGUGAGCGAAGAAGGCCUUCGGGUCGUAAAGCUCUGUUGUUAGGGAAGAACAAGUAACGCAGUAACUGGCGUUACCGUGACGGUACCUAGCGAGAAAGCCACGGCUAACUACGUG